rnacentral:rRNA from 1 species
GGUGAGUAACACGUGGGCAAUCUGCCCUGCACUCUGGGACAAGCCCUGGAAACGGGGUCUAAUACCGGAUACGACCAUCUUGGGCAUCCUUGAUGGUGGAAAGCUCCGGCGGUGCAGGAUGAGCCCGCGGCCUAUCAGCUUGUUGGUGAGGUAAUGGCUCACCAAGGCGACGACGGGUAGCCGGCCUGAGAGGGCGACCGGCCACACUGGAACUGAGACACGGCCCAGACUCCUACGGGAGGCAGCAGUGGGGAAUAUUGCACAAUGGGCGCAAGCCUGAUGCAGCGACGCCGCGUGAGGGAUGACGGCCUUCGGGUUGUAAACCUCUUUCAGCAGGGAAGAAGCGAAAGUGACGGUACCUGCAGAAGAAGCGCCGGCUAACUACGUGCCAGCAGCCGCGGUAAUACGUAGGGCGCAAGCGUUGUCCGGAAUUAUUGGGCGUAAAGAGCUCGUAGGCGGCUUGUCGCGUCGGUUGUGAAAGCCCGGGGCUUAACCCCGGGUCUGCAGUCGAUACGGGCAGGCUAGAGUUCGGUAGGGGAGAUCGGAAUUCCUGGUGUAGCGGUGAAAUGCGCAGAUAUCAGGAGGAACACCGGUGGCGAAGGCGGAUCUCUGGGCCGAUACUGACGCUGAGGAGCGAAAGCGUGGGGGAGCGAACAGGAUUAGAUACCCUGGUAGUCCACGCCGUAAACGGUGGGCACUAGGUGUGGGCAACAUUCCACGUUGUCCGUGCCGCAGCUAACGCAUUAAGUGCCCCGCCCGGGGGAGUACGGCCGCAAGGGCUAAAACUCAAAGGAAAUUGACGGGGGGCCCGGCACAAGCGGGCGAACCAUGUGGGCUUAAUUGCGACGCAACGCCGAAGAACCUUUACCAAGGCUUGACAUACACCGGAAACAUUCAGAGAUGGGUGCCCCCUUGUGGUCGGUGUACAGGUGGUGCAUGGCUGUCGUCAGCUCGUGUCGUGAGAUGUUGGGUUAAGUCCCGCAACGAGCGCAACCCUUGUCCCGUGUUGCCAGCAGGCCCUUGUGGUGCUGGGGACUCACGGGAGACCGCCGGGGUCAACUCGGAGGAAGGUGGGGACGACGUCAAGUCAUCAUGCCCCUUAUGUCUUGGGCUGCACACGUGCUACAAUGGUCGGUACAAUGAGCUGCGAUACCGCGAGGUGGAGCGAAUCUCAAAAAGCCGGUCUCAGUUCGGAUUGGGGUCUGCAACUCGACCCCAUGAAGUCGGAGUCGCUAGUAAUCGCAGAUCAGCAUUGCUGCGGUGAAUACGUUCCCGGGCCUUGUACACACCGCCCGUCACGUACGAAAGUCGGUAACACCCGAAGCCGGUGGCCCAACCCGUUCGCGGGAGGG